AGCGAACGCUGGCGGCAGGCCUAACACAUGCAAGUCGAACGAACUCUUCGGAGUUAGUGGCGGACGGGUGAGUAACACGUGGGAACGUGCCUUUUGGUUCGGAAUAACUCAGGGAAACUUGUGCUAAUACCGAAUGUGCCCUUCGGGGGAAAGAUUUAUCGCCAUUAGAGCGGCCCGCGUCUGAUUAGCUAGUUGGUGAGGUAACGGCUCACCAAGGCGACGAUCAGUAGCUGGUCUGAGAGGAUGACCAGCCACACUGGGACUGAGACACGGCCCAGACUCCUACGGGACGCAGCAGUGGGGAAUCUUGCGCAAUGGGCGAAAGCCUGACGAAGCCAUGCCGCGUGAAUGAUGAAGGUCUUAGGAUUGUAAAAUUCUUUCACCGGGGACGAUAAUGACGGUACCCGGAGAAGAAGCCCCGGCUAACUUCGUG
rnacentral:rRNA from 1 species